rnacentral:rRNA from 1 species
AGAGACAGACGGACGGACACACCCAGAGAGCUUCCUUUUCCCACAGCGCCGACGGUGUCAUCCAACCCACCAUCUCGGCCGAACAACCCUCCUCCCUCCACUCCUUCUAUUCCAUUUCCACCCAUCCACGCGCGCUCGCACGCCGCCACAGAGGAAUCGUUCUGGCAUUCCCGUUCCGCCUCCGUCGUCGCCGUCGCACUCCUCUGCUAGGCCACCAUAUAACGGAGAUCCACCCGGGCUUGGAGGAUUGGUUUCUUCGGUGCUGAUGCAAGGUGUUUGUUGUAUCUGAGAAUUCAGAAUAUGGGUUCUCGGUUUCCAUCCCACCAAUUAAGCAAUGGGCUUUAUGUCUCUGGGCGACCUGAGCAACCAAAGGAGAAGGCUCCGGUUGUUUGCUCUGCAGCUAUGCCAUACACUGGGGGUGACAUCAAGAAAUCAGGAGAACUAGGGAAAAUGUUUGAUCUCCAUGCUGAGAAGUCACGGAAAUCUGGCCCUUUGGCAGCGGUUCCUGGCACUGGAGGUUCUGCAAGGGCAAAAUCUAAUUCUGGACCGCUCAAUAAGCAUGGAGAACCAACAAAGAGAUCCUCUGGCCCCCAGUCAGGAGGAGUGACCCCAAUGGCUCGCCAGAAUUCUGGCCAUCUACCGCCUAUUCUUCCGACAACUGGGCUCAUCACAUCAGGACCUAUCUCCUCUGGACAGUUGAACUCAUCUGGUGCUCUACGAAAAGUAUCAGGCACUCUUGAUUCUACUGUUUCGAUGAAGAUGCGUGCCACCUCUUCUGCUUACAACCCGGCUGUUACAAAUCUUAAUGAGCAAAAUAGCUACUCAAUUAAGGCCAGUUUGCCAAAGCCGAUACUAUGGGCGGCUAUUCUGCUCUUUGCGAUGGGGUUCAUAGCAGGUGGCUUCAUUCUAGCUGCUGUUCAUAAUUCGAUUUUGCUGGUAGUUGUUGUGGUGAUAUUUGGAUUUGUUGCUGCGCUCUUGGUUUGGAACAUUUGCUGGGGAACAAGAGGCAUGACUAGAUUUGUCAGUCGCUAUCCUGAUGCUGAUCUUAGAAUUGCGAAAGAUGGAGAGUAUGUGAAGGUCACAGGGGUUGUUACUUGUGGAAAUUUCCCCCUAGAGUCCUCAUUUCAAAGGGUUCCAAGAUGUGUAUACACUUCGUCCUGCUUGUAUGAGUAUAGGGGCUGGGACUCAAAAGCUGCCAACACUCAGCAUCGCCGAUUUACUUGGGGAUUACGUUCAAUUGAACGGCAUGCGGUCGAUUUCUACAUCUCUGAUUUCCAAUCUGGGCUGCGAGCAUUGGUCAAAAUAGGAUAUGGUGCACGGCUAAUCCCAUAUGUCGAUGAAGCUGUUGUUAUUGACAUAAAUCCAGAAAACAAGGACAUGUCCCCUGAAUUUUUGAGAUGGCUACGGGAAAGGAACCUCUCAAGUGAUGAUCGUAUAAUGCGCCUAAAAGAAGGAUACAUUAAGGAGGGAAACACUGUUAGUGUCAUCGGUGUUGUUCAAAGGAACGAUAAUGUGCUGAUGAUUGUUCCACCACCUGAACCCUUCAACACUGGUUGCCAGUGGGGCAAGUGCCUCCUCCCAACUAGCCUUGAUGGACUAGUCUUAAGAUGUGAAGACACGUCGAACGGUGAUGUAAUUCCAGUAUAGCUAUCUAGCCUCGUUCUGGCAGUUCACCUGGGGAAAAGGGAAAACAAUAUUUGACUUUGGGUUUAUUUUAUGGAUUGAAAAAUGUGCAAAUGCAAGGUGUGAUUAUGGUUUAGUACAAUAUUGAUAGUCAGUUGCUCACGGCUUGAUUGUGUAGUAUUUUUUGCAUUUUGCUUUUUUUUUUGGUUGGGCAAUGAAUACCUGUAAGAUUGAUGGCUUCAGUACUAGUACUACCAUGGAGCUCUUUGGAGUUAAGAGUGGAACCAUGUUCAUAUGUUUUUUUUUUUCUUUUGGUUUGUCGCAUUACAGCAUCAUAAACCAUUCUCCAGUUCCCCUAUCUGUAUCUAUUCUUCUUUAUACAUAACUCCAGCUCUCAUG